GGCGAGAUGAAUUCAAUGAUACUGAUGAUCUAGCUAGUGAUCCUAUUAUAAAUGAACCAGUUGAUGAUGACAUGAGUGAUGAUUAUACAACUGAUGGUAUAGUAGAUGACGUAGCUGAUGAGGGGCUAGAUGUACAAGCCGAUGAAGAGCCAGCGGCCGAAUUACAACCAAGAAGAUCGACCAGGGUACGGAGACCUCCGAGUAGGUAUUCUCCAGAUGAUUACGUUCUCCUAACAGACGGGGGAGAACCAGAAUGCUAUAAAGAAGCAUUGACUCAUGAUCAACAAGAUGAGUGGUUGAAAGCCAUGCAUGAAGAGAUGCAAUCUCUGCAUGAGAACCACACAUAUGAUCUAGUGAACCUACCAAAAGGUAGAAGAGCACUCAAGAACAAAUGGGUGUAUCGACUGAAGACGGAAGAAAACAACUCUAAGCCCAGGUUUAAGGCAAGGCUAGUUGUGAAAGGUUUCAGUCAGAAGAAAGGAAUUGACUUUGAAGAGAUUUUCUCACCCGUAGUGAAGAUGUCAUCCAUACGGGUUGUACUCGGUUUGGCUGCAAGCCUGAAUCUCGAGAUCGAACAGCUAGAUGUGAAGACAGCUUUUCUUCACGGAGAUCUUGAAGAAGAAAUCUACAUGGAGCAGCCAGAAGGAUUCAAAGUCAAAGGAAAAGAAGAUUUGGUAUGUCGGCUGAAAAAGAGCUUAUAUGGACUCAAGCAGGCGCCUCGACAAUGGUACAAGAAGUUUGAUUCCUUCAUGAUUGAACACAGAUAUCGACUUCAGACCAUUGUGUAUUUGUGAAAAGAUUUGAUGAUGGUGAAUUCAUCAUACUUCUUCUCUAUGUCGAUGACAUGUUGAUCGUAGGACAAAACAGUGACAAGAUUAGCAAGCUGAAGAAAGAGUUGAGCAAGUCUUUUGCUAUGAAAGACUUAGGACC
rnacentral:lncRNA from 1 species